GCUUAACACAUGCAAGUCGAACGAAGCACUUCAGUGGCGAUCUUCGGAUCAAAACUGAUUUGACUGAGUGGCGGACGGGUGAGUAACGCGUGAGCAACCUGCCCAUAAGAGGGGGAUAACAGUUGGAAACGACUGCUAAUACCGCAUAAGACCACAUUACCGCAUGGUAAAGGGGUCAAAGAAAUUCGCUUAUGGAUGGGCUCGCGUCCCAUUAGGUAGUUGGUAGGGUAACGGCCUACCAAGCCGACGAUGGGUAGCCGACCUGAGAGGGUGAUCGGCCACACUGGAACUGAGACACGGUCCAGACUCCUACGGGAGGCAGCAGUGGGGAAUAUUGGGCAAUGGGCGCAAGCCUGACCCAGCAACGCCGCGUGAGGGAAGAAGGCCUUCGGGUUGUAAACCUCUGUCCUAUGGGAAGAACACAAUGACGGUACCAUAGGAGGAAGCUCCGGCUAACUACGUGCCAGCCGCCGCUGUAAUAC
rnacentral:rRNA from 1 species